CAAUAGCGUAUAUUUAAGUUGCUGCAGUUAAAAAGCUCGUAGUUGGAUUUCGGGUGGGAAUGGCCGGUCCGCCGUUUCGGUGUGCACUUGCUACGCCCACCUUGCUGCCGGGGACGUGCUCUUGAGUUCACGCUCGGGACACGGAGUCGGCGAGGUUACUUUGAGUAAAUUAGAGUGUUCAAAGCAGGCCUACGCUCUGAAUACAUUAGCAUGGAAUAACACGAUAGGACUCUGGCCUAUCCUGUUGGUCUGUAGGACCGGAGUAAUGAUUAAGAGGGACAGUCGGGGGCAUUCGUAUUUCAUUGUCAGAGGUGAAAUUCUUGGAUUUAUGAAAGACGAACUACUGCGAAAGCAUUUGCCAAGGAUGUUUUCAUUAA
rnacentral:rRNA from 1 species